rnacentral:misc_RNA from 1 species
GAUGAAGAACGUAGCGAAAUGCGAUAAGUAAUGUGAAUUGCAGAAUUCAGUGAAUCAUCGAAUCUUUGAACGCACAUUGCGCCCCCUGGUAUUCCGGGGGGCAUGCCUGUCCGAGCGUCAUUACAACCCUCAAGCUCAGCUUGGUGUUGGGCCCCGCCGCCCCGGCGGGCCCUAAAGUCAGUGGCGGUGCCGUCCGGCUCCGAGCGUAGUAAUUCUUCUCGCUCUGGAGGUCCGGUCGUGUGCUCGCCAGCAACCCCCAAUUUUUUUCAGGUUGACCUCGGAUCAGGUAGGGAUACCCGCUGAACUUAAGCAUAUCUAAGCGGAGGA